rnacentral:lncRNA from 1 species
UUUUUUCUACAUUGGCUAGAGGUAUAGGGGAGGGUUGAGAUCUCAUGAACAUGUUUAACCCCGCCGCAAUUUUGCGCCUGUCUCAAGUCAGGAGCCUUUGCAUGGCCUUUGUUAGUCUUGUAUGAUUUUUUAAUGUUAGUUUCUUGUGUAUAAUUCGGAGUUUAGUAUGACGUCCAUUAUCACUGAACUAGUAUACAUAUUUGUUUAGGGGCCAGCUGACGGACGCCUCCGGGUGCGGGAGUUUCUCGCUACAUUGAAGACCCAUUGGUG